rnacentral:lncRNA from 10 species
CCGCCGGGCGAAGCGCUCGGCCACCAGCGCGUCCGUCCUCAGAGCCGGCGCCGAGGCCCGGCUCAGCCUCAGCAGCCCCCACACCCAGGCGGCGGCGGUGGCGGGGAGCUGGGCUCCCGGAGCCGGGGUACCAAGAGCCGCAGCCGGAGCAGGAGCAGGAGGGCGGCGGGCGAGGGCGGCAGGAGAGGGCGACGGGCAGCUUCGCGCCGAGAAAGCUCCGAGCAUCUGAGGGCUCUGCUUGCUGGUCUCCUCUGCGGCGGCUGGACUGAGGAGCGGAUGGCUGAGGAGCUAGAGAGGCGGCGGCCACGGCAGCUGCACUCGGCCCGGUCUCGGGCGCCUUCUUCGCCCCCCCGCCUUUGCAG